UCUAAGGGCUGUGAAGCGAGACCGGAAGGACUCGUGGAGCGCUUAGAAGUGAGAAUGCCGGUAUGAGUAGCGAAAGAGGGGUGAGAAUCCCCUCCACCGAAUGCCUAAGGUUUCCUGAGGAAGGCUCGUCCGCUCAGGGUUAGUCGGGACCUAAGCCGAGGCCGAAAGGCGUAGGCGAUGGACAACAGGUUGAUAUUCCUGUACCACCUCCUCACCAUUGAGCAAUGGGGGGACGCAGGAGGAUAGGGUAAGCGCGGUAUUGGAUAUCCGCGUCCAAGCAGUUAGGCUGGGAAAUAGGCAAAUCCGUUUCCCGUAAGGCUGAGCUGUGAUGGCGAGCGAAAUAUAGUAGCGAAGUUCCUGAUUCCACACUGCCAAGAAAAGCCUCUAGCGAGGUGAGAGGUGCCCGUACCGCAAACCGACACAGGUAGGCGAGGAGAGAA
rnacentral:rRNA from 2 species